CGGUGGCUGGGCUGAGACUGGACGGAGCGCGGCGGUGCCGUAGACCUAGACUGGUAGGAGUGCGGUGGUGGAGAGGUCUGAUGCUGGACAGAGCGCGGCGGUGCCGGAGGCCGGGUCUAGACGGAGGGCAGCGGUGCCGGAGGUUCCCCUCCAUGAGAUGUUAGACUCCCCGGCGGGGCGUUGGACGUCUGGCUCCUUCGCUGGAUGGUAUGAGACGGUUCCUCAGCGGGGUGACGGGGAGAAGGUUGUGGCCGCUGUCGAGGGGAUGGGGUAGACAGGAUGGGGCAAAGGUGUAGACCGAUGACAUCCCACUAAAUCCUUACCGAAUCCGAACAUGCCUGACCUUCCCUCGCGUACAUGAUCACAUCCGCCCGCGUACGCCGGACCAAGUACCGCCACCACUGGAUCAAGCACUCACAUGUUUCGUUGCUGGACCUGGUCAACAGAUUAGCUGUCAAAGUGUACCUUUUGCGACUGCCUUUGUCCUCGUCUUUCACUCUCCAGGAACACAUACUACUACCGAACGGUUACAACACCUUUUAUUCCAGGGUCUACUCUCGAGAAUACCUUGGUUUUUUCUUAUAUCCUUAUCCUCCUCUAUAUUCCUGAUGACCCCUUCAUGCUCCCAGUAGUGCCGGUGGGUUCUUUUUGUUUUGCUAACACAUGAACGUUAACAAAUGUAAGUUGUGAAGGAAUAAUAUAUAUGGUAAAAAAGUGUGUAUAAAUACAAAAAAGGGUCAGUUUCCUGCAUUGAGUAUCCUCAAAACGAGCACAGUCAUUAACUUACCAUUUGAAAAUAUCUUACGAUUAAGAGUCUACAAACACUUAGCUAAUGGUUUACCUGAUACCUGCUUGACUCUCGUACAUCAUUUACAUCCGUACUAAAAUAACCUUCAACACACGUCUAGCAGCGUUGUUAAUGAGUAUCAUCUGUAGACCAUUAUAUACAUAAUGGGCUAGAUCGAGGAUCUACGGAUUGUUCUCACGUAGACAAUAGUUCCUUUUGCUCUACGUACACGUUCACGUGAAGGACGACGAUGUAUAUACUGACGAUCAUGUACAUAUAAAUGUUCCCGUAUAGACUAAUAAACGACCAACUCCUUGAAGUUUACCUUCAUACAUUUUGAUGUUAAUACAAGAAUAAGGAUUACGUAAUCUUGUCUAGACUAACGAAAUAGUUACUCACGUAUUUAACAGUAAAGGAUUCUAACGAGUUUGUAUGCUCAAGAAAACGUCCCUGUUUUCCUCCUUUCAUCGUUCAAGUGUUCAACUAGAUUCUACAAGGCCACUGACGAAAACCAGUAUUGUACCAACAGUGUAAAACAAGUAUACCUUCAACUAGAGUCGAACCCCUAUCUUCUGAACCAGAGAAGGUAUUAAAAAAGACCACCACUAGCUUGUAAAUCAGAGAAUCCUGAACCGGUAGUAUAAAAUAAUCUCCUGUACUGAGCUUACAACUGAAUACAUAAAGGAAUUACGCACAUCGAUUGAACUCACUUCUUUUGAUUGUUUAGGAGAUAUGUACAGCUUACUUACGUAAUUAAUUACCAUAGAACACUACUUAUGUUCUCACGUUUACAAACAUAUACAUAACCCAUGACUUGUACUUAACUAAAGUACAAUUAUAUACCAUGUAAACGUUAAUAUGACUUUACAUGCG
rnacentral:rRNA from 1 species